UACGGAGGGUGCGAGCGUUGUCCGGAAUCACUGGGCGUAAAGGGCGCGUAGGCGGCGCGGAUAGUCGGCGGUGAAAGCCCGGAGCUCAACUCCGGGUCGGCCGUCGAUACUUCCGGGCUUGAGCACUGUAGAGGCAGAUGGAAUUCCGGGUGUAGCGGUGGAAUGCGUAGAGAUCCGGAAGAACACCGGUGGCGAAGGCGGUCUGCUGGGCAGUUGCUGACGCUGAUGCGCGACAGC
rnacentral:rRNA from 1 species